UGCUCUAUGAUUGGAUAACUAGUCAAGUAAGCUGCUCUGUGAUUGGAUAACUUAGUAAGUCUCAUUUCUAUUCAAAGCUAUUCUAUUACAUUCAUAGCCAGUAAUUGAGCUGGGUUCCAUGGGUGUGUUGGGGUAAAGGUGUGUGUUGGGUUCCAUGGGUGUGUGUUGGGUUCCAUGGGUGUGUUUGGGUAAAGGUGUGUGUUGGGUUCCAUGGGUGUGUUUGGGUAAAGGUGUUUGCUCUGUAGUUCUGGUGUUUAAUGAGUUGGUGUUUAAUG